rnacentral:rRNA from 1 species
AGUGAACGCUGGCGGUAGGCCUAACACAUGCAAGUCGAACGGCAGCACAGUAAGAGCUUGCUCUUACGGGUGGCGAGUGGCGGACGGGUGAGGAAUACAUCGGAAUCUACUUUUUCGUGGGGGAUAACGUAGGGAAACUUACGCUAAUACCGCAUACGACCUACGGGUGAAAGCAGGGGACCUUCGGACCUUGCGCGAUUGAAUGAGCCGAUGUCGGAUUAGCUAGUUGGCGGGGUAAAGGCCCACCAAGGCGACGAUCCGUAGCUGGUCUGAGAGGAUGAUCAGCCACACUGGAACUGAGACACGGUCCAGACUCCUACGGGAGGCAGCAGUGGGGAAUAUUGGACAAUGGGCGCAAGCCUGAUCCAGCCAUACCGCGUGGGUGAAGAAGGCCUUCGGGUUGUAAAGCCCUUUUGUUGGGAAAGAAAAGCAGCAGGUUAAUACCCCGCUGUUCUGACGGUACCCAAAGAAUAAGCACCGGCUAACCUCGUG